AUUGAACGCUGGCGGCAUGCCUUACACAUGCAAGUCGAACGGCAGCAUGGGUGCUUGCACCUGAUGGCGAGUGGCGAACGGGUGAGUAAUGCAUCGGAACGUGCCCUGAAGUGGGGGAUAAUGUAGCGAAAGUUACGCUAAUACCGCAUAUUCUGUGAGCAGGAAAGCAGGGGAUCGCAAGACCUUGCGCUUUAGGAGCGGCCGAUGUCGGAUUAGCUAGUUGGUGAGGUAAAGGCUCACCAAGGCGACGAUCCGUAGCGGGUCUGAGAGGAGGAUCAGCCACAAUGGGACUGAGACACGGCCCAGACUCCUACGGGAGGCAGCAGUGGGGAAUUUUGGACAAUGGGGGCAACCCUGAUCCAGCCAUGCCGCGUGAGUGAAGAAGGCCUUCGGGUUGUAAAGCUCUUUCGGCGGGGAAGAAAUUGCUUCGGCUAAUACCCGGAGUAGAUGACGGUACCCGCAUAAGAAGCACCGGCUAACUACGUGCCAGCCGCCGCGGUAAUAC
rnacentral:rRNA from 1 species